GUUGCCGGCCAUAGGGCGCGGGACCCACCCGAUCCCGUUCCGAAAAUGAGGGCGCAUGAAAGUGACGCCUCUUAUCGGUAGCUCGGAAGUUAAACCGCGCUCCGUUCCCGGUGUUAGUGUGGUCCUCGGCCACGCGAAGCCGGGAAAGCUGGCAGCC
rnacentral:rRNA from 1 species